GUAGGUGAACCUGCGGAGGGAUCAUUACAGAGUUCUCGCCCUCGCGGGUAGAUCUCCCACCCACUGUUAUUGCUACUGUGUUGCUUUGGCGGGCUGCUGGGCCCAGCCUGGCCGCCGGCUCCGGCUGGCGCGCGCCCGCCAGAGGCCCGAUUAAUUCUGAUUGUCAGUGUCGUCUGAGUACUAUAUAAUAGUUAAAACUUUCAACAACGGAUCUCUUGGUUCUGGCAUCGAUGAAGAACGCAGCAUCUGA
rnacentral:misc_RNA from 1 species